CCUACGGGAGGCAGCAGUAGGGAAUAUUGCUCAAUGGGGGAAACCCUGAAGCAGCAACGCCGCGUGGAGGAUGAAGGUUUUCGGAUUGUACACUCCUUUUGUUAGAGAAGAUAAUGACGGUAUCUAACGAAUAAGCACCGUCUAACUCCAUGCCAGCAGCCGCGGUAAUACGGAGGGUGCAAGCGUUACUCGGAAUCACUGGGCGUAAAGAGAGCGUAGGCGGGAUAGCAAGUCAGAUGUGAAAUCCUAUGGCUUAACCAUAGAACUGCAUGUGAAACUGUUAUUCUAGAGUAUGGGAGAGGUAGGUGGAAUUCUUGGUGUAGGGGUAAAAUCCGUAGAGAUCAAGAGGAAUACUCAUUGCGAAGGCGACCUGCUAGAACGUAACUGACGCUGAUGCGCGAAAGCGUGGGGAGUAAACAGGAUUAGAUACCCCAGUAGUC
rnacentral:rRNA from 1 species